rnacentral:rRNA from 1 species
GAUGAACGCUGGCGGCGUGCCUAAUACAUGCAAGUCGAGCGAACGGACGAGAAGCUUGCUUCUCUGAUGUUAGCGGCGGACGGGUGAGUAACACGUGGAUAACCUACCUAUAAGACUGGGAUAACUUCGGGAAACCGGAGCUAAUACCGGAUAAUAUUUUGAACCGCAUGGUUCAAAAGUAAAAGACGGUCUUGCUGUCACUUAUAGAUGGAUCCGCGCUGCAUUAGCUAGUUGGUAAGGUAACGGCUUACCAAGGCAACGAUGCAUAGCCGACCUGAGAGGGUGAUCGGCCACACUGGAACUGAGACACGGUCCAGACUCCUACGGGAGGCAGCAGUAGGGAAUCUUCCGCAAUGGGCGAAAGCCUGACGGAGCAACGCCGCGUGAGAGAUGAAGGUCUUCGGAUCGUAAAACUCUGUUAUUAGUGAAGAACAUAUGUGUAAGUAACUGUGCACAUCUUGACGGUACCUAAUCAGAAAGCCACGGCUAACUACGUG